GGUGCGUAAACUCCUUUUAUAUGAGAAGAUAAUGACGGUAUUAUAUGAAUAAGCACCGGCUAACUCCGUGCCAGCAGCCGCGGUAAUACGGGGGGUGCAAGCGUUACUCGGAAUCACUGGGCGUAAAGAGCAUGUAGGCGGAUUAAUAAGUUUGAAGUGAAAUCCUAUAGCUUAACUAUAGAACUGCUUUGAAAACUGUUAAUCUAGAAUGUGGGAGAGGUAGAUGGAAUUUCUGGUGUAGGGGUAAAAUCCGUAGAGAUCAGAAGGAAUACCGAUUGCGAAGGCGAUCUACUGGAACAAUAUUGACGCUGAGACGCGAAAGCGUGGGGAGCAAACAGGAUUAGAUACCCUGGUAGUCCACGCCCUAAACGAUGUACACUAGUUGUUGUGAGACUUGAUCUUGCAGUAAUGCAGUUAACACAUUAAGUGUACCGCCUGGGGAGUACGGUCGCAAGAUUAAAACUCAAAGGAAUAGACGGGGACCCGCACAAGCGGUGGAGCAUGUGGUUUAAUUCGACGAUACACGAAGAACCUUACCUGGACUUGACAUAGUAAGAACUUUCUAGAGAUAGAUUGGUGUCUGCUUGCAGAAACUUAUAUACAGGUGCUGCACGGCUGUCGUCAGCUCGUGUCGUGAGAUGUUGGGUUAAGUCCCGCAACGAGCGCAACCCUCGUGUUUAGUUGCUAACAGUUCGGCUGAGAACUCUAAACAGACUGCCUACGCAAGUAGGAGGAAGGUGAGGACGACGUCAAGUCAUCAUGGCCCUUACGUCCAGGGCUACACACGUGCUACAAUGGGAUAUACAAAGAGCGGCAAUACGGUGACGUGGAGCAAAUCUUAUAAAAUAUCUCCCAGUUCGGAUUGUAGUCUGCAACUCGACUACAUGAAGUUGGAAUCGCUAGUAAUCGUAGAUCAGCUAUGCUACGGUGAAUACGUUCCCGGGUCUUGUACUCACCGCCCGUCACACCAUGGGAGUUGAUUUCACCC
rnacentral:rRNA from 1 species